UACGUGGGGGGCAAAUGUUGUUCGGAAUCACUGGGCGUAAAGGGAGCGUAGGCGGGUGUUUAAGUUAGGUGUUUAAUCCUGGGGCCCAACCCCAGUCGUGCACCUAAAACUGGACAUCUUGAAUAGUGGAGAGGUCAGUGGAAUUGGGGGUGUAGCGGUGGAAUGCGUAGAGAUCCCCAAGAACACCAGUUGCGAAGGCGGCUGACUGGACACAUAUUGACGCUGAGGCUCGAAAGCAUGGGGAGCAAACAGG
rnacentral:rRNA from 1 species